AAAGAAACUAACGAGGAUUCCCUCAGUAACGGCGAGUGAAGAGGGAAGAGCCCAGCGCCGAAUCCCCGCCCCGCGGUGGGGCGCGGGAGGUGUGGCGUACGGAAGCCCCCAUCCCCGGCGCCGCUCUCGGGGGGCCCAAGUCCUUCUGAUCGAGGCCCAGCCCGCGGACGGUGUGAGGCCGGUAGCGGCCCCCCGGCGCGCCGGGCCCGGGGCUUCUCGGAGUCGGGUUGCUUGGGAAUGCAGCCCAAAGCGGGUGGUAAACUCCAUCUAAGGCUAAAUACCGGCACGAGACCGAUAGCCAACAAGUACCGUAAGGGAAAGUUGAAAAGAACUUUGAAGAGAGAGUUCAA
rnacentral:rRNA from 1 species